rnacentral:rRNA from 1 species
CUGGCUCAGAUUGAACGCUGGCGGCAGGCCUAACACAUGCAAGUCGAACGGUAACAGGAAGAGCUUGCUUCUUUGCUGACGAGUGGCGGACGGGUGAGUAAUGUCUGGGAAACUGCCUGAUGGAGGGGGAUAACUACUGGAAACGGUAGCUAAUACCGCAUAACGUCGCAAGACCAAAGAGGGGGACCUUCGGGCCUCUUGCCAUCGGAUGUGCCCAGAUGGGAUUAGCUGUGGUGGGGUAACGGCUCACCUAGGCGACGAUCCCUAGCUGGUCUGAGAGGAUGACCAGCCACACUGGAACUGAGACACGGUCCAGACUCCUACGGGAGGCAGCAGUGGGGAAUAUUGCACAAUGGGCGCAAGCCUGAUGCAGCCAUGCCGCGUGUAUGAAGAAGGCCUUCGGGUUGUAAAGUACUUUCAGCGGGGAGGAAGGGAGUAAAGUUAAUACCUUUGCUCAUUGACGUUACCCGCAGAAGAAGCACCGGCUAACUCCGUGCCAGCAGCCGCGGUAAUACGGAGGGUGCAAGCGUUAAUCGGAAUUACUGGGCGUAAAGCGCACGCAGGCGGUUUGUUAAGUCAGAUGUGAAAUCCCCGGGCUCAACCUGGGAACUGCAUCUGAUACUGGCAAGCUUGAGUCUCGUAGAGGGGGGUAGAAUUCCAGGUGUAGCGGUGAAAU